UGUUCCUUUGCCCUCUUGUCUUCUGCCAUGGGAUGAGAACGGAAGAAGAUGCCAGCUUCCAGAAAUGUGAAUCAAUGAAUUUCUGUUCAUUGUGUUAUCCUUUCUUAUAUUCCAUUAUAGCAAUGAUAAGUAGACUAAGACAUUAUCUUUUUAAAAAAAUAUUUAUUUGAAGGACAGAACAACAGAGAAAGAGGCAAAGACAAGGAGAGAGAGAGAGAGAGAGAGAGAGAGAGAGAUCCUCCAUUCAUUGGUUCGCUCCCCAAAUGACUGCAACAGUGAGGGCUGGGCAAAACUGGAACUCCAUCCUGGUCUUCUACAUGUGUGACAGAGGCCCAAGUACCCAGACCAUCAACUGCUGCUUUCCCAUGUGCAUUAGCAAGGAGCUAAAUCAGAGGGGGAGCUGUGGGACUUGAACCAGCACUCUGAUAUGGAAUGCAGGCAUCACAAACAACAGCUUGGCCUGCUGCUCCUAAUGCCAGCUGGCUAAGACAUUCAUCACCAGUCGUGCUGUCACCUGAAUUUCUACAUUUUAGUCCAUGCUAAGGUUUUGGGGCAAAACUAAAAGUGCAGUUUCCUGAGCUGGUAAUGGUAACAUAGAUUAUGUCAUCAUUUCUGAAUGAGAAUGCAAAUUCCUAAUAAUUUAUUCAUGAAACCCAGAAAUCAAAGACACCAUUAUUGAUGAAAGAUACCUGUGGUAGGGUCAUGAUUGGCCCCUGAGAGGGCAGCAGUAUUCUACAGCUUGACCUAGGUGCUGGUUAUGCUAGCAUGUGUAUAAUUUGUUGACUUUCAUUUAUUUAUGUUAUGGUACAAUAAACAUUAAGGAAUUGUAAAAGGAAGUAAAACCAGUGAGAUAACUAGGAAAUAAUGAUCAUAGAAGUACAAAAGAAGCCAGAAGAAUGAAACAUCCCAGCAACCAAGAGAAGAUAGAGGAGAUGUGCAUCAACAGCACUAAUGGAAGAAGCAGUGUCAAGUGAGGAUGGACAGAUGGCUUUAAACUUAACUGGGAGAAAUGUUUGUAUUAUCCAAAAGACAGAAACAAAUGCUGGCAAUGCUGUGAAUAAAUAGGAAUUCUUAUACACUGGUGGUGGAAAUGUAAAUUACUGGAGCCACUGUGGAAAACAGUAUGGAGAUUUAAAAAAAACAACUGGGAAUGAAACUGCAAUGUUAUCCAACAAUCCCACUGCUUGCUGCCCGGACUCCUUGCAGAUCCUGAAUGCACCAGGCAACUUCAUGCUGUGUCCUACGCCAUCGUUGUGCAAGGAAAUGACCUCCACAUCUUUUAAUUCCCUACCACCACCAAAGGAACUCUGAACACUGCAUAUUACUACACUAUUCUUCAAAUCCUGUGCAAAGGGAAUAAGUAAACUAUGUUGAUAAAAGAGAAACAGCAAAGUUUAGUGUCUCUUAAAAAAACAAAAUGAAAAUUGGAUGAGACCUGUUAAAGGAAGAUUAAACUGCAGCCAGUCUCACAAUCCUGUCCAUCACAUGAGGCUACAGC